GACGAACGCUGGCGGCGUGCUUAACACAUGCAAGUCGAACGGUAAAGCCCUUCGGGGUACACGAGUGGCGAACGGGUGAGUAACACGUGGGUGCUCUGCCCUGCACUUCGGGAUAAGCCUGGGAAACUGGGUCUAAUACCGGAUAGGACCACUGCCUGCAUGGGUGGUGGUGGAAAGCUUUUGCGGUGUGGGAUGGGCCCGCGGCCUAUCAGCUUGGUGGUGGGGUGAUGGCCUACCAAGGCGACGACGGGUAGCCGGCCUGAGAGGGUGACCGGCCACACUGGGACUGAGAUACGGCCCAGACUCCUACGGGAGGCAGCAGUGGGGAAUAUUGCACAAUGGGCGCAAGCCUGAUGCAGCGACGCCGCGUGAGGGAUGACGGCCUUCGGGUUGUAAACCUCUUUCAGCACCGACGAAGCGCAAGUGACGGUAGGUGCAGAAGAAGGACCGGCCAACUACGUGCCAGCAGCCGCCGUAA
rnacentral:rRNA from 1 species